rnacentral:rRNA from 1 species
AACGAACGCUGGCGGCAGGCCUAACACAUGCAAGUCGGACGCCCUAGCAAUAGGGAGUGGCAGACGGGUGAGUAACACGUGGGAACCUUCCUAGAGGUACGGAACAACGCAGGGAAACUUGCGCUAAUACCGUAUACGCUCGAGAGAGGAAAGAUUUAUCGCCUUUAGACGGGCCCGCGUCGGAUUAGCUAGUUGGUGGGGUAACGGCUCACCAAGGCGACGAUCCGUAGCUGAUCUGAGAGGAUGAUCAGCCACACUGGGACUGAGACACGGCCCAGACUCCUACGGGAGGCAGCAGUGGGGAAUCUUGGACAAUGGGCGCAAGCCUGAUCCAGCCAUGCCGCGUGAGUGAAGAAGGCCUUCGGGUUGUAAAGCUCUUUUACCAGGGACGAUAAUGACGGUACCUGGAGAAUAAGCCCCGGCAAACUUCGUGCCAGCCGCCGCAGUAAUAC